UACGUAGGGUGCGAGCGUUGUCCGGAAUUAUUGGGCGUAAAGAGCUUGUAGGCGGUCUGUCGCGUCUGCUGUGAAAAUCCGGGGCUCAACCCCGGACUUGCAGUGGGUACGGGCAGACUAGAGUGUGGUAGGGGAGACUGGAAUUCCUGGUGUAGCGGUGAAAUGCGCAGAUAUCAGGAGGAACACCGAUGGCGAAGGCCGGUCUCUGGGCCACUACUGACGCUGAGAAGCGAAAGCGUGGGGAGCGAACAGG
rnacentral:rRNA from 1 species